AUAAAUUAUGUAAUAUGCCAGGGAGAUAUGUAUACUGUAGCUAAGAAAGUAAUACUUAGUGUAUGUUGUGUAGUAAGCUGUUAGUAGCCCAUGUGCCCCACCCUAAUAAUUUGGUCUAUUUUCUUCUCUUAACUUUGCCUACUGUUCUGACUUGGUGGUGCACAUGUAGCCUAUAACCUGUUUUAGAGAAAUGUCAUCAUCAAAUAUUGUAAGAGCUUUCAUUGUCUGCUUAUAUGCCCCCUUUAUUUAUCCUAUGGUUCAGACUUGGUUUACAGGGAGAACACUGUAAGAACGGCCCAUGUUCUGAAUUCUGUCGCUGUACUGUUGGGACUCUGCUGUUGGGACAACUUUGUGUAGGCCCUAACAGUUUGUGGGCAACGUUUGUCACCAUUUUAGUGAAAUUAAUCUAUUGUUUAGUGUUGUGUUGUUGCUUUUCCGGCAUUCAUCCCUCUUUUUUUGGUUUAUCCCACCAAGCUUUACAUGCUAAAAUCGUCACGGGUUGUAAUAUUAACUUACCAUAUGUAUCCAUCUUUGCACACAUGCCAGUACAUUUUCUGAUAGGACACCUUGAGCAGGCCUUUCUUCUGGAGGUAUUUCACCUUUUAAGCUGUUUUUUUGGCUACAAUAUAUGACUUAGCACACGAGCUAUUUUCAAUUAAAAAUCCUUGGGUCAGGUAUUGGAUUUGGGUGCGCACUUUAAGAGUAAAAAUUUGUAUCCAGCUGGAAAUUGGACCAAAAAAAAGAGAGUUCACUUGUUCACAUGUUGUUUAACGUCAUCGAGGACAAAACGCAGUGACAGUCAACGCUGACCAAGGCCAACCAUGAAUGUCUUACAAACAAUGUAAGAAGAUGGCCUCAUCAGCAGAGAUUGAUGCCAUAACUGAAUUGGUAGAUGUCGAGAUCCCUAAGUAAGAUGUAUGGGAACCAACUGUGGUUGCUGUAGAUGAUUAUGUACCUCCCAUAGAUGGGGACAACGUUGACAAGAUGUGUGAGUCGGACAAUAGCUCAGAUUUUUCAAGCUCAGACGGCUCGUCAUCCACUGACAGUGAAUAUGAAAAAAAGAAGAAGAAGAAGAAGGGGAAAAAAGGAAACAGCUAAAUCCAGAGGUGGACUCCAAUCAAGUUGUAGAAACAUCUCAAGGAUGAUCAAUGGAAACAGGGUGCACCUGAGCUCAAUUUCGAGCCAUAUAGCAAAGGGUCUGAAUACUUAUGUAAAUAAGGUAUUUCUGUUUUAAAUUUUUUAUACAUUUUCAGAAUUAUAUAAAAACAUGUUUUCGUAUUUGUCAUUAUGGGGUAUUGUGUAUAGAUUGAUGUGAAUUUGUAUUUAUGUAUUACAUUUUAGAAUAAGGCUGUAAUGUAACAAAAUGUGGAAAAAGUCAAGGGGUCUGAAUACUUUCCGAAUGCACUGUACGUGC
rnacentral:lncRNA from 1 species